rnacentral:rRNA from 1 species
UACGAAGGGGGCUAGCGUUGCUCGGAAUCACUGGGCGUAAAGGGUGCGUAGGUGGGUCUUUAAGUCAGGGGUGAAAUCCUGGAGCUCAACUCCAGAACUGCCUUUGAUACUGAAGAUCUUGAGUUCGGGGGGGGUGAGUGGAACUGCGAGUGUAGAGGUGAAAUUCGUAGAUAUUCGCAAGAACACCAGUGGCGAAGGCGGCUCACUGGCCCGAUACUGACGCUGAGGCACGAAAGCGUGGGGAGCAAACAGG